UACGGGGGGGGCAAGCGUUGUUCGGAAUUACUGGGCGUAAAGGGCUGGUAGGCGGCCAACUAAGUCGGAUGUGAAAUCCCCAGGCUUAACCUGGGAACUGCAUCCGAUACUGGUCGGCUUGAAUCCGGGAGAGGGAUGCAGAAUUCCAGGUGUGGCGGUGAAAUGCGUAGAUAUCUGGAGGAAUACCGGUGGCGAAGGCGGCAUCCUGGACCGGCAUUGACGCUGAACAGCGAAAGCUAGGGGAGCAAACGGG
rnacentral:rRNA from 1 species